rnacentral:tRNA from 1 species
UGGAUCACCUCCUAACAGGGAGACAAACAACGAUUUUGAUGUCUGAGUUUUUUUAUUCUUAGGCCAAAAUCCUGUCACCUUAGGUCGAUCGGUACCUCAACUUUGAAGCUAAGAGUAUUCAGUAAUGGAUAUCUGCUUAGUGGAGAUUUUUAGUUCCUAAACUUUGUCUGGUUCACAACCCAUUAGGGAUGAGACUCCUGGGCCAUUAGCUCAGGUGGUUAGAGCGCACCCCUGAUAAGGGUGAGGUCCCUGGUUCAAGUCCAGGAUGGCCCAUUCGGUGUAGGGGGUUUAGCUCAGUUGGUAGAGCGCCUGCUUUGCAAGCAGGAUGUCAGGAGUUCGAGUCUCCUAACCUCCACUGACUACCAAAAUCCCCAUCUCCAAAACCUGGAGUAUGAACUCGUAUGGAUUGUGAUUUAGAUGUGUCCGCUAGAUGACCCUAGCUUCUUGUCAUUUUAAGGCAUGGAAAUAGUUCCAUGAUAUUUAAUUGAUAGGAUGCUGGGCUCGAUUCAAUGUAUUGAGAGAUCAAUGCAUUGUUUUGAUGUCUGGUCGAACCUUGACAACUGCAUAGUAAGUCUGGAAAGAAUAAAGCAUCUUUAUGGAUGCAUCAUUCUUGAGUGUUAAUUCACGAUGGGAUGGUGUUAAUUCUAAAGCAAGAGCCGAGACUCCAGCAUGUUCUUUCAAAUGUGUCGAGCAUUUGAGAGUUUGAUUUUAAUUUCUAUUUUUAGAAGUUAGAAGAAUCUGUUUCAACGACAGCAAGCGUGUUGGAGAUACAUUGGUCAAGCUACAAAGGGCUCACGGCGGAUACCUUGGCACACAGAGGCGAUGAAG